UCUUUAAUUUUUUUUUUAUUUUUAUACUUUUUUAAAUUUAGUUUUUGAUAAAUUUUCUUAUUAAGAUUUUUAAAUAGAUUGAUUAAUUUAAUUUUUUAAAAAAUUUGUUAGUACCUUUUGUAUCAGGGCUAAUCAAUUUUUUUAUAUAUAUAUUUUUCCCGAAAUUAAAAGGUCAAUUAAUAAAUUAUUUUAUUUGUUUUAUAAAAUAAUUAAAUUUAUUAAUUGUAAAUAUAUUUUAUUCGAUUUUAAUUAUAUCUGGUUAUUUAAGAUUAAAUUUAAUUUUUAAUUUAUUAUUUUAAAUUAUAUUUAAUAAGGGAUAAUCUUUAUUAAUUUAUAUAAUUUAUUUUUGAUCAUAUUUUUAUUAAUUUUUAAAUUUUAAAUUUAGUUAUUAAUAUAUUUAAAUAAUUAUAUUUUAAUUUUAUUUAAUUUAUUUUUUUAUUGAAUUUAUUUAUUAAACUAAACUUUAAUUUUAAUACUGAUUUUAUAAGUAAAAUUUUAUAUUGAAGUUUAAUGAAUUCGACAUAUUUAAUUUUCAACUGUUUAUCAAAAACAUUUUUUUUAGAUUUUAUUAAAAGUACAUUCUGCCCUAUGAAUAUUUAAAUGGCUGCAGUAUUUUAACUGUACAAAGGUAGCAUAAUAAUUAGUUUUUUAAUUGAGGACUGGAAUGAAAGAUUAAAUGAGAAAUUAGUUUUAUUAAUUUUAAAUUUUAAAUUUUAUAUUUAGGUAAAAAAGCUUAAGUUAUUUUUUGGGACGAAAAGACCCUAUAGAACUUUAUUAUAAUAAAUAGAAUUGAAUUUAAAUUUUAUAUUAGUUUUUUUUAUUAAGUUUUAUUGGGGUGAUAAUUAAAUUAAUCUUUAAUUUAUAAUUUCAUUAAUUUAUGUUUUUUUUGAAUUAAAAUAUUUAAUUGUAAGAAUAAGUUACCUUAGGGAUAACAGCGUAAUUUAUAUGGAGAGUUCAUAUCUAUAUAUGAGUUUGCGACCUCGAUGUUGAAUUAAGAUAAAUUAAGGAAGAAGUAUUUUUUAAGUUAAGUCUGUUCGACUUUUAAAUUCUUACAUGAUUUGAGUUCAAACCGGUGUGAGCCAGGUUGGUUUCUAUCUUAAAAUUUUUUUAGUUAAUUUAGUACGAAAGGACCAAUUAAUUUAUUUCAAAUAUUAUUUUUAAACAAA
rnacentral:rRNA from 1 species